rnacentral:sRNA from 1 species
UCCUUCUCCACACAGGCGAUUUCACCGAGCUGGGACUGCCCUCAGAGGUUAAGAAGUUUAAUGACUGGUUAGGAAACCUGCCAUAUGAAUAUAAAAUAGUGAUUGCUGGGAAUCAUGAACUGACAUUUGAUAAGGAAUUCAUGGCAGACCUUGUUAAACAGGACUACUACCGUUUCCCCUCUGUGUCCAAAUUGAAACCAGAGGACUUUGACAAUGUUCAGUCCCUCCUGACAAACAGUAUUUACUUACAAGAUUCGGAGGUAACAGUGAAGGGAUUCAGGAUAUACGGUGCACCUUGGUAAGUGAUGAUUCAAACAGUUUUCCACAUUGCUUUUUAGCUCAGUACCAAGAAAACACAGCUCAGAUUUAGAUGCUUUAAAUGAAAAUGAUUAGGAUGAAAGGAAACCUUAUUGCUGUAUUUCCAACAAAAUACAUACUGUACUGCUGCAAAAUGCAA